UCUGACAAGGUCUAAAGUAUCACACGUCAGGAAGAACGUCUGCUUUUCCCCUGCGGCAGAUAUAGCUUCUAAGAGAGGCCCUGCCUACCUGACAUCUGAAUGUUGGUCAGAGUGUAACAUAUUUAUAUUCUAGAUAUAUGUUGCAUCGAUUCGUGCUGACAUUUUAAACAUAUACAGAAUCUCCCAUAGGCCUACGUUUUUAAAUAUAUAAUUCAUAAGAAAGGGGUACGACUGGAAAUACAGUAUAUAAAUCAGCGGCAAGCCAGCGAUCGGCCUGCAUCGCCUUGGCCUACCUUACCAAUAAAGUAUUUAUGAAAGUUUUUUUCCCGCCCAAACAACAACGAAUUCAUCUGCCCGUAAGUUUGAAAUGCUAAUAACGGGAAGAAGAUCAAUAUCGAUGGUCUCCCUGAAAGCGACCUUUGGCAUCCACGCAAGAGCAUUAUUAAAAACAGCCCUCGAUCAGGAGUCAGAUUGCCAAAAACUAAAAAUCCGGGAUAUAAGAGACGGCCGGAGAGAUGACUGGCGGAGCAAGUGUGAGGAGGGCGAUCUGACUCCCGCCAUACCCCAAAAAACGCCAGACUCUAAAAGUGCCCAUUUUCUCUUAAAAGCCGCGCCUACAGGAAGCUGUCAAGUCUGUCCUCCCCCUGCAAACUCUUGCCGGCGUCCUUCUGUGCUUCCCAGACGGGCAAUACCCAGGACGUCCAGCAGGGGGCACACCCGAGCCAUACAUCAGGCUGUCUGUCCCCGGAGCUGUACGCCAGUCGGACUGCCAAGUGCAGCAAGCUGCUCCAGCUGGGCCGGUUUGCAUUUGGAGGAACAGGAAGGCAACAGGCUGUAACAAUAAACAGCAAAUUAACAUC